rnacentral:lncRNA from 1 species
UUCGACCCCCCCCACUCCCCUUAGCCUUGACUUCUGACCCCCCCCAUACAUAAAUCUGACUGCAACCCUGGGCCAGACUCCCUCCUAACCUUUAACCCACACCCCACCAUCUUUGCAUGAGCCACAGUCUUGCUGCACUGCUUUUAUUCUAUUUAAACUUGUAACCCCCCCAAAAAAAAAAACUCCCCCUAUUGUGAAGUCAUCAAAGCAGUGUGGUGCAGCUAUGGAGGAGGAUGCAUGGGUGUGUGUGUUGAGUGUCUGUGGAGGUAGGGUGGGGUUGGGCGAAGAGGUGCAUUAUAUCCACUCACCACAGCACUGCCUCGAUGACAUCAAGCCUGCCAACCGUAGAAUGCAAAAGCAAUGCCAGUGUGGCAUGCCUCUGUUCCCGGUGUGUGCGUAUAUACGUACAGUGCCUGCCCUGGAAAAAUAAUAGAAAAACAAAAUUAACCAAAAAAAUACAGAAAAUAAGCUUCUUUUUUUUCGCUGAACAUUUAAACUAAAUUGUGUUUCUUUGCUUGAGAAUUUUUUUAUUUUGUUUUGCAUGCAAUGUGUCUUGAAGAUGACUUAGAUACAUUCUACCACAUGGCAAGCAGUGGAAAAAAUAAUUGUUUAUAUGUUUUAUUACGUUGACAUUAUCAGUUGAUUCUCUGUGUUUUUAUCAAGGGAGUGGGGAUAUAAUGUGGCAAGAAGCCUAUGCAGACGUGAUGUGGAAAGUGGCAUAGUCUUGUCCUUGUUUCUUUUGGACAAAUGUCAAAAUAUUAGUGAGUGUGUAAGAUCAUGGGAUGCAUUCCAAAAAGCACCAUAUUCCCUUUACAGUGCACCACUAUUUUUGACCAAGCCCCAUAGCGCUUGGGAAGUACCUCAUGUUGAUAUAUCAGAUGUCGGGUCAAACGACUGGCUGUCUACUGUAUUUUCAGAGAACUUCUCGCUGUUCUGACACCCCCUCUCCCUUGAUCAACCAUCUGAAUUGAGAUGUGGAGGGCACUUAAAAUGAACAAGUCAGUAUUAAAGUUCAAAAUGUCUUUCUCUUUCUCCAAAUUGCAACAGUUUGGGUGCUUCCCAAAUGACACGAUUCCUUACAUACUGCACUUUUGUGGACCAGGGCCCAUAGGGCAAUAGAGAGAAAAGGGUGCCAUUUGGGAUGCACUUUAUGAUCAACAUUUUUAUCCAUCCUCCCCUCCUCCGUCUGAAAAAUUCCAAAUAGACCUGGGUAAAGAAGUUUGACAUGGAUCCACUAGAAUGUAGAAGCCAGAGGCAGAUGUUAAAUGGUGAGGCUAUAAGAGUGCACCUAGUGAGUGUACACUACUAAAUGUACACUACAAAGUGUAAACUACGUAGUGUAAUAAGUGGACGAAUGUGAAGUCUUAUCAAAGUGAACCAUGACCGCUGCUGUCGCCGUCUCAAUAACAAUAUCCCUCUCACUAGGCAUUGUGGGAGAUGUAUAGCCAAGGCUGCUAUUUGUGUUCUGGAUAAAUAACGGAAUAUUAUACCAAGCCUACGCAAAGGCCUUAUAUACUGUAAUAAUUACAUGCUGACGUUCAGAAACCACCACAGAAAACUAUAUGGCUUAAGGUAGCAAAUGAUUCAUUUGUUUGAGAGGAACAGACAGACUACACUGAUGUCACUAUAAUGCAUUUUACUGUACUCUGUUAUUUUCAACUCUGUUUAUAUGGUGAAUGCUAUGCUAUGCCCUGUUUGGUCUGGUCUUAGUACCCCGUGAUACCGGCAAAGCAUACACAGUAUUAGAAUGUAGAAGAAAUACUGGAUGCAACCACAACUAGAGUGUGAUUAUGUAACUUAAUAAUACUAUUCCAUUCCACUGAAGAUCUGCUGAUGUACAAUCCCCCCAAAAAAUCAUGUUCAUUUUUUCCCCUUUUGGUUCUGAGAAAAGGGGGGAAAUAUUGUUUGUUUUGACUUGGGACAACAGGAGAAUGUUAAUGUAUUUUUAUCUGCAAUAGAUGGUUUAAUUCAUGCAUGCUGCAUCAGAACUAAAAGUGCUUUCCAAUCCAAAAACGAUGGUCCGAUCACCUUACUGAACAUAGACGGCAAGAUAUCUACAGAAGGUAGCCGGUAGAUUGAGGUGAGGAAACCAUGCAGUCUCAUAAAAGUCUUUAAUUCGUAGCCUGUCUGACCUGGAAAAAAUGAUAUGUGACAAAAAUCCCUCAUCCUGUCCUCCAGAUGUCAAGUUGAACACGCACAAUUGCAGAAGUAUAGAUAUCAAAACCGCACGAGUAGUAUUCCUGUGAGUAUAGGUGUUCCUCCAUUGGUGAGUGCAGAUUUCAAAGGCCUUGGGAGUUAAUAGCAGGCAUGAAUGUAUAUGGGUACCGUUACUAAGGGUCUUUGGUGGGAGAAAAUGUUUUUAUUUUUUGUCUUUUUUGUUUUCUUUAAGAGAGAAGUCAUUGAGACAAAAAUGCGAAGAAUCUGCAAAUGGUUCUCCCUAUCGCUAAGAAACAACUACAUUUUACGUUUUAGAGUGACUGUGUACAUAGCUAUAUCUAUUACUGUUGUUUUGAUUUACAGUGUAUAUCUAUCAUUUUUGUUGAUUUCAUCAAUGCUAAAAUAAUGGACUUUGGAACUGUCUGUCUGAGAAGAUGGCCGUCUUUGGAAUGUUCCACCAAACGAGGAGGGGAGGGGUGAGGGAGAAACACGCCACUGUGGCAGUUUACCCGGGGAGGGGGGUCUACAGAACUCCACAAAAUGGACUCUCCCUCUCUCUCUACUCCUCUGGUGAACCUAUCACUCUGCUGUGGCUAACAGGACGAUGGAUUCUCCACUGUGGCCACAGGUGCCAAGAACGCAGAAGCACUUGUAGCACAAUUGUGUCUUUUGUCUUUAUUUUUUUUUUAUUGACCAGUAUGGAUUUUUUUCUCCUCCUACCCAAUAUAUAUCGCUUUUGCUCAUAUACCGUAUGUGUCAUAAGCAUAUAUACAAGACGACAUCAUAUAAAGAAAUGUAUAGCUAUGACCUGCGGCAGUUCUUUUGAAAGUUGAAAUUUGCCAAAGGUGAAAGUCUUGCUGCAUUCUUUCGUCAAACUGCUACUUUGUGUUCAACAAGUGUCAACAAAACCGUGUAUUUAUCAGUAUCAUUUUGGAAAUCCUGCCCACGUGCCAUCUAAUUAAGCAAUAAAAAAAAACAAAAAAACAAUGAGAUAACGAGACACAAUCGCAUAAAGGAUUUUAUUAACUCAAAAUGCUUCAUUGAUGUUAUAUCCCAUACUGGUGAGUCGGGCAAUGUAACGUUAUCACUGUUGGCAUGGCAACACAUCACCACUGAAAUGUAGAGGCCUGAAUAUGAGGUGUGAUUGUACAACGAUUAUUUUAGUAUUUUUCUUUAUAAGAGGUGUCCCAUCCCUUGAAGAUGAAUUCUACUGGUGUACCACUUGCAUAGUUUGUACAGACAGUUUGUGCAGGAGAAAAGGACAGUCCCUCCCAACAGACAAGAGAAAGAUUGCAGGGUUUCUGAAAGUGGUCUCUGUUCGUCUAAGCCCAUCUGAGAUCUUGUUUCUGAUUCUCUAGUUGGCAGGAGUAUCAUGGAAACUCAAUUUACUGCAUUGCAACUUCAGUGAUUCGUCAAUACUACUGAAAAUAAAAAAAUCCACUAGCCUACAUCACGGUUUUAACCGCAGGCAAAAACCUUACAGGUUCACGACUUGAAAAAAAGCUUGUAUGAUUUCCUUGAAAGAGAUUCAUUUUAUUAGCAAUGAUUUAAUAAAGUUGUAAAGUGUAUUUUACUGUAAAUAGUAUCCACAGAGGAUAUUAUAUGAUCCUUUUGUAAAAGAAAAACUAUGGAAAUACCUUAAUAUAACAUGUUUUACGAAGUUUACAGAAUCACACAAAAUCUGACUAAAGCUGAGAUGGAUUUAUAUGGAUGAUCUCUUCAACUCUAUUCUCUCACUAAUCUCACAAAGCCAGAGACCGUUGGUUCAUUUUGAACCGCUUUCAGAGACCACUGCCAUCUUUCCCAGGACCGUUGGUGCAGUGUGGUUCUAAGUCAGUAGUCACAGAGAGAAAAGUCUACUGUUAUCCUGCUCUGCUGGAAGUGGAGUAGCCUGUUAGUGGCUGGAGAGAACCCAACACUACAGCACAGUCAGUGGUUGCAUCCACAUUUUCCCCCACUUUAUUCCCUAUGUAGAGCACUACUUUUGCCAGGGGCCCGUAGGCCUCUGGUCAAAAGUAGUGCACUAAAUAGGGAAUAGGGUGCCAUUUCAGAUGCAGCGAGUGUGUUAGCUACCCCUAGCAGUGUUGCAGCAGCAAUGGAUUCUCUCCACUUUAGGAUCCCUAGAUGUCAUGGCCGUCUGUUGCUAGGAUACCAACCCACACAAAGCACUCCAGGGGAAUGAUAUGCAGCCACACUGAGGGAGUGAGGAGGCAGGCAGGUCAGGUCAGCUGGCUGGGCCUGGCCCAAAGGGAGAGGGGUAGGGAGAGGAGGGUGGGAGUGAGUGAGUGAGUGUAUGGCAAGGCUGAGGCUAUGGUAAGGGGGUUGAGGGGACCUUGUAUAAUGAUGCCUUGGUGCAUAUAUUAGGCCACUGGGGAGAAGGGAGGCUUGGGCAAAUGAGGUAAAGAGUGAGGGGGGGGGUUAUUACAGAGGAGAUGAGUUAGGGUGAGUUUACACAGACAGUUGAGGGUCUGAGACUGAAGAGCAAACGAGAAGGGGCUAGCGGAACCCAUGGGUAAAGUGGAGGGAUGGGAUCAAUGGGUUCAAGGCCUUAGCGAGAGGUCAGCCAAACAGAAAACAGGUGAAAAGGAUUUUCUCCUGUUUUGAAUGUAGUUAAGGCAUGGCCAGCUGAGUCUGGACCGGGCCCCGACCUAACCUGAAUACAGUGUGACUGCAGGGACCACCUGCUUCUACUUUUCUAGGCUCGUAUUCAAAAAGCGUCUGGGAGUAGUCGUGUUGAUAUAGGAUUAGUUGGACCUUUUAGAUCGUAAUGAAUAACAUUAUAUGGACCGGGGGAGGACAUUAUCCUAGAUCAGGACUCCUACUCUGAGACGCUUAGUGAAUACGGACGAUGGGGUCUGUCUAUUAUCCUUUCUGUUCCACCUUCUGACGAUGUUCCUUUCUUUGGACUGCUGUAUUAUUACUACUGCUUUACACUUUCUUUGUUUUUACUGAUCAAUGUAAAGCUGUAAAGAUAAAGAUCUCCUGCAUUGUGAAAGAAAAAUGGAUGUACAUAUUGUAUCGAUUAAAACAGCGAUGCAUAAAGCUUUUAUAUGUUCCUCCGGUCAAUUGAUUGAUUUAAAUGAUCGUGUUUUAUCUUAUCAUAUCAUUUGUCAUAUCAUGGAAUGUGGACACUAUUAGAUUCAACGAGAACUAUAGGCAAUAUAGCCUGAAAUCGAGACCUGUUUUGUGCUUACUCCUGUUUGGGCAUAUGACAUGGAGUACAAGGAGAGGAAUGUUAG